rnacentral:lncRNA from 1 species
UUCAUUGAUAUUUUUCUAAAAAAAUAUGGUUGGAAGUAGUGAAAAAGAUACGAGGACAUAUACCCUCACUAAGGGUAUGACCCUUAAUAGAGUAGAAUGACGAAACAAGAUUCGUAUAGCUGAUCUCAAUCGGUUGGGAAAAGGUUUUGAUGAUGAUAAUAUUUGAUAAUAAUGUCUUAAAUUUAUUUUAAAUUUUUUCAGCCAUCUUUUACCUAUAGAGAAGGAGAGACAGUUUGCAUAAAAAGUUACCAAAAUAACGAUUGCAAAGACCUUUUUUUUUUGGUAAUUCAGUGGGGAAAGGCAUUGCCCCUACCUGUUUUUUCAUAUAGAUUAGGUAGCUAGUUUUUUUUCAAGUUGUCAAUUAGUGCAUGGUAACUAGGUGCGGGG